AACGAACGCUGGCGGCAUGCCUAACACAUGCAAGUCGAACGAGACCUUCGGGUCUAGUGGCGCACGGGUGCGUAACGCGUGGGAACCUGCCUUUAGGUUCGGAAUAACUCAGAGAAAUUUGAGCUAAUACCGGAUGAUGUCUUCGGACCAAAGAUUUAUCGCCUUUAGAUGGGCCCGCGUUGGAUUAGCUAGUUGGUGGGGUAAAGGCCUACCAAGGCGACGAUCCAUAGCUGGUCUGAGAGGAUGAUCAGCCACACUGGGACUGAGACACGGCCCAGACUCCUACGGGAGGCAGCAGUGGGGAAUAUUGGACAAGGGGCGAAAGCCUGAUCCAGCAAUGCCGCGUGAGUGAUGAAGGCCUUAGGGUUGUAAAGCUCUUUUACCCGAGAUGAUAAUGACAGUAUCGGGAGAAUAAGCUCCGGCUAACUCCGUG
rnacentral:rRNA from 1 species